CAGAUGAUUGUGCAGUUUUUCUGAAGAUGAUCUGGUUGACUGGAAGACACCAAACUUUCAGGUGUCCGCUUCAAUGCCACUUCCUCAGAAAGAUCUUCCCUGACUCGCCACACGCCCUGGGCCUCAGAGCAUCGUAUGCAUUUCCUCUGCAGCACUGAUUUCAAUGUGAAAUCGUAUAUUUAUUUGUAUUAUGAUUUGAUUGCUGCCUUUCCUGUUUGUGACUCCUAGACCCAUGUCUCUAAGACCAUGUCUGCUUUGCUCAUCACGGUCUUCUCAGCUGUGAGCCUAGUGCCUAUAUGAAUUGCUGAAUGAGAAGCGAUGCUCCCUCAUGAAAAGGUCAGAGCCUGCUGUUCUCUACUGGUUCUCAUCUGCAAACUCUUGUAUACAUACCCCCAAAAGGAUGCCAGACUAUGAUGUGUCCUCAGCUCUUUGUGAAAAAGGCAGCUACAGUUUUGCAUUAUAACUUGAAGUUGUUGGCAAAGGAUAAUACCCAGUGUACUGCAAAAAUUGACAUUUUAGAAUAAAGCCAUUACAUCACUUUUUAAAAUGUAUCCAAUGGGAUCCAAAUACCACAGCAAUCAGAUACCCAUCAUCAUUCACUUAAAAAAUACAUGAACAAGCUCUUUUUUAAUGCUGGAGGGUUUUACGUGGGUUUUUUUCUCUUUGA